rnacentral:rRNA from 1 species
GAUGAACGCUGGCGGCGUGCUUAACACAUGCAAGUCGAGCGAACGGACGCGACGUUUGCUUCUCUGAUGUUAGCGGCGGACGGGUGUGUCACACGUGGAUAACCCCCCUAUCAUACUGGGAUAACCUCGGGACACCGGCGCUUAUCCCGUAUAAUCUUUUGCUCCGCAUGGUUCAAAAGAGAAAGACGGUCGUUCUGUCACUUCUAGAGGGUUAUGCGCUGCAUUAGCUAGUAGUGAAGUUAAAGGCCUAUCAAGGCGAGGAUGCCUAGCCGACCGGAGAGGCUGGUCGGCCGCACUGGAGGUGAGACACGGUCCAGACUCCUGCGGGAGGCAGCAGUAGGCAAUCGGCCGCAAUGGGCGGGAACCUGACGGAACGGCGCCGAGUGAGUGGUGAAGGUCUUCGGAUCGGAAAACUCUGUUAUUAGGGAAGAACAUAUGUGUACGUAACUGUGCACAUCUUGACGGUACCUAGUCAAAAAGCCACGGCUAACUACGUG